rnacentral:rRNA from 1 species
UACGAGGGGGGCGAGCGUUGUUCGGAAUUAUUGGGCGUAAAGGGUGCGUAGGCGGCCUGACAAGUCUGAUGUGAAAUCCCUGGGCUCAACCCAGGGCCUGCAUCGGAAACUGUCGGGCUUGAGUAUGGGAGAGGUGAGUGGAAUUUCCGGUGUAGCGGUGAAAUGCGUAGAUAUCGGGAGGAACACCUGUGGCGAAAGCGGCGCACUGGACCACAUCUGACGCUGAGGCGCGAAAGCUAGGGGAGCAAACAGG